UUAAUUCAGUACACAACUACAAGGAAUUUAAAGCAAAUUCGCUAUUUAUCUAGAUUAAAACAAACAUAGAUACUGCUUUUCUUAAUGAUAAAUGAAUUCAUUAUAAAACAACUGUGAACAGUUCAGGGUUUGGGCAGCUGUGAUCCGUGCAAACCUUUGAUUUUCGAACUCUUAUCGAGCGUUCUUUCUCUCACAGGAACUGAAGACAACAUUUUAUUCUAUUGAUCAGUUCUUGUUGCAAACGUUCUCAUUCGCAUAAGUAUGUUGAACAGCUCUUAUCUGAUCACUGGAGUUUUAUGUGAACCCUCUCUGAAAUUUGUUUUGAUUCAGUAAUUCGGAAAUAGAGAUUCCAAGCCUAAACCGGGAAUCGCCCCCUUGAUUUCCUGUGGAAUAAGUGCUGAUUUUCGUGGCAUUACAGGGAAAACCUCUGGAAUUUUGGGGAUCGAAAUCACCAUUCACCUCGAUGAAAGUCGGUCGGAUUCCCAAAUCUGGAUUUCCUUUUUGGAAAUUUUGAACAAUAAGGGCGGAAAACAGUGAGGCGAAGUAUUAUGUUAUGCUAUUAGUUCAUCAUUUUCUCUUGUCAGAAUUACAGUCGAGGGUAAUUUUAAAAAUUCUACCCCAAUUAUUCAAACAAUCCAUGUAAUAAUAAUAUGGUUGAAAACCAUUUACUCUUUUACUACUUGAAGGGACUUACACUUUCACAACAUCACAAAAUUACUAUCAUUAUAGUCUGAAUUUUAAUUUCAGGAAUCAAGAAUUGAAAACAGAUACUAUUCCUAAAAAAAUCUUAUAGUACUCAAGAAUAUUCCAGUAGGAAUUUUCAACUUAUCAUAAAUAAUGUGAUGUUUUUUCUAGAAAUUAAAAAGCACUCAAGCCAUUUUAAAAUGUCAAAAUGAGUGCUUGAAACUAGUUAUAAAAAGUAUGAAAAUGGUACUAGUGAUUUUUAUGAUAAUUAAACAAUACAAGCAGCCCAUUUAAAAUACUUGAUUAGAAUACUUAUGAUGUAUGAUAAUGACAUUUUUUCAUUCUCAAAUAGAAUUACCUGUUGAAAUUCUGAUGACAUUUUAUAAUACGCGACAUAUCUCUUUUAAGAUUGAAAUCCAAUGCAAUAAAUGUUUGCUGCUGGUCAGUCGGGUUCUCACUAGAUCCAUCUACAAAUUCAAGCAUUGAAAAGUUGGUUGCU